rnacentral:rRNA from 1 species
CAUGCAAGUCGACGGAGUAGCAAUACUUAGUGGCAGACGGGUGAGUAACAUGUGGGUAUCUUCCCUUUGGUGAGGAAUAACACGAGGAAACUUGUGCUAAUACCUCAUAAGUCUUUACGGAGAAAGCUUUAUGCGCCAAUGGAUGAGCCCGCACUUGAUUAGUUUGUUGGUAGGGUAAUGGCCUACCAAGACUGUGAUCAAUAGCUGAUUUGAGAGGAUGAUCAGCCACAUUGGGACUGAGACACGGCCCAAACUCCUACGGGAGGCAGCAGUAGGGAAUCUUGCACAAUGGAGGAAACUCUGAUGCAGCGAUGCCGCGUGAGUGAAGAAGGCCUUUGGGUUGUAAAGCUCUUUCGUCGGGGAAGAAAAUGACUGUACCCGAAUAAGAAGGUCCGGCUAACUUCGUGCCAGCAGCCGCGGUAAUACGAAGGGACCUAGCGUAGUUCGGAAUUACUGGGCUUAAAGAGUUCGUAGGUGGUUAAAAAAGUUGGUGGUGAAAGCCCAGAGCUUAACUCUGGAAUUGCCAUCAAAACUUUUUAGCUAGAGUUUGAUAGAGGAAAGCAGAAUUUCUAGUGUAGAGGUGAAAUUCGUAGAUAUUAGAAAGAAUACCAAUUGCGAAGGCAGCUUUCUGGAUCAUUACUGACA